AUUGAACGCUGGCGGCAGGCUUAACACAUGCAAGUCGAGCGGGGGAAGGUAGCUUGCUACCUAACCUAGCGGCGGACGGGUGAGUAAUGCUUAGGAACCUGCCUAUUAGUGGGGGACAACAUUUCGAAAGGGAUGCUAAUACCGCAUACGCCCUAAGGGGGAAAGCAGGGGAUCUUCGGACCUUGCGCUAAUAGAUGAGCCUAAGUCGGAUUAGCUAGUAGGGGGGGUAAAGGCCUACCAAGGGGACGAUCUGUAGUGGAUCUGAGAGGAUGAUCCGCGACACUGGGACUGAGAAACGGCCCAGACUCCGACGGGAGGCAGCAGUGGGGAAUAUUGGAGAAAGGGGUGAACCCUGAACCAGCCAUGCCGCGUGUGUGAAGAAGGCCUUUUGGUUGUAAAGCACUUUAAGCGAGGAGGAGGCUACCGAGAUUAAUACUCUUGGAUAGUGGACGUUACUCGCAGAAUAAGCACCGGCUAACCCUGUGCCAGCCGCCGCGGUAAAAC
rnacentral:rRNA from 1 species